GCAGCCUUAGCUCACUUGGGAGAGCGCCAGACUGAAGUCCACUUCGGUUCGAAUGACUGAGGAUUAGUCAUGUUAUCUGGAGGUACUGAGUUCGAUCCUCAGAGGCUGCA